UGUUCAGCAGGAAAAAAAUUUCAAAUUUUUAAAAAUUUUUCUGAGCUUUCGGAAAAAUAUUUCCAGAAAUUUCUUUCCACCCAGCGGGGUGAAAAUUUUUUUUCAGAAAAAUUUUUUUGCCCGUUAGGGGUUCUCCUAAAUGCGUCUGAGUCUCCCCUCGUCUUCCAUCGCUGCCUCACCUGCUGCUGCCUCAACCCACACGCUCCUUCAACACUGAAAGCAUCUCCUCACCAGCGCAGCGUCUAGCAGUGGUGAAAGAGAAUUCCCUUCUUUGCAUCCGAUGCUUCCUCUAAACCAGAUUACAGGGAAGAUUCAGGUCAUGAUCCUUCUUCAGCCUCGCUCGAGGUUCCUCCUGCAGAUCCUCCUCAAUCGCGUCCAGAAGUUAGUACCUUUCUUUUUUCUGUCCUUCAUUUUCUCGAGUGCUGCCAUUUCUUGUCUUUCUCCUCGUACCAUUUGCAGAUGCAUUCUAGGUUUUUUGUUUUUUGUUGAUUUUGGUAAUACGAUGAUCUGCAAUUGUUAACUUAGGUUUGGUAUUUUUUGCAAGUUUCUUUUUCAUCUUGUGGAAUCUAAUAUCUGCUUGCAGCAUUGUUUACUCGAUAGCGAAUUCAUGGAUACUUGAUAAAACUGGGAUAUGAUCUGGAUAUAUUUUCAGCUAAUGCGCUUGUUGAUAUGUAUGCAAAACUUGGUAAUCUGGUGGACGCAUCACAAGUUUUUGAUGGCAUAUUAGAGCCAGAUGUUGUUUCUUGGAAUGCUUUAAUUGCUGGUUUUGCUCUUCAUGGAUUUCAUGAAAAAGUUUUACAGUUGCUGGAAGAAAUGCAGGGGGUGGGAAUGGUGCCAAAUAUGUUCACACUGUCCAAUGUACUUAGACCAUUCACAUGUCAUCAAGACAGGUUUCAAAGCCGACAUUGUUGUUGGUGUUGGCCUGAUUGAUAUGUACUCAAAGUGUGGUUGUUUGGAGGGUGCAAGAAAAGUUUUUGAUUCCCUACCUGAACUUGAUCUGAUUACAUGGAAUGCAUUGGUUG